AUGUGGCUUUUGUCACCAACCCUACGUGGGCAUCCAGCCCUGCCUCUGGCUCAGGGCUCCACACCAGGGCCUAUCAGAGAGCCUUCGAGUAUCACAGCUCUGUUUUUGCCUGCAUAGCUGCACAGACUUGAAAUGCAGAUCCACAUGCUCAAAUGCAUGAGAGUGGAAGGAAGGGGACUUAAAGAAGAGAAAGCACGCGACGUGUCCUGACAAGAAAGCUUUAAGUAACUGAGGAGAACAGAGACAAAAUCCAUAGGACCCACAUGACAGACCUCUGAGGCAGACCAAAGACAUACGCCUGGAAAGUGAUCUCCUGAGGCUGUUGCCAAACAAUACCAUGUAUACAGUAUAAAACACUCUUACCUGCAUUCUGGGAAACUUUCAGAAGACAAGUACAUGAAACAUGAUCACUGCUCUCCUGUGAUUACAGAGAAAUCGACAACAAAAGAUGGCACGAUGAUUAAUUUGACUAGCUUGAUUUGCUUCAUAUGUGGUCUUCCAGAAUGCCAGCUGCACAGACACUGAGGCAAAACCAAACUAAAAGUAUUUUGCCUGUGAGAUGCAAGGGAGACCACUGAUUCAGAUUCAAACCCCAAGUUUCUCUUCAGGCUGUAGUUCUGAAUUGGAUCCCCAAAACUCUGGGGGAACUGUCUAACCUGCAGCUACCUCUGCUGUGGCGAGUUUUGGCUCAGGGUGUAGAAACAUGGAAGAUCUCAACAAAUGUUGUUAAUUCUCAUCCCUUUCUAGACCCUGGUUUUGUUCAGGUUUACCUAAGCCUACCCAGUUCUGAAGACUAGAAUCACAGUGCAGAAUACACCAGGGAGAAACAGCAUCUACUUUCUCUGAACACCUCCCUAGGAAAAGGUAAGUUUUGCUAGGAGCCAAAACCUGCCCAACCUUAUGUAAUGGCUUGUCUGAAUACACUGUGUCGCGUCCCCUGUCACCAAGCUGCUAGCCUGGUAUGGAGAACAUUAUCUCUCUUUAGGUCUGAUACACUUCUGUAACAACUCUAAACAGUAGAGAUGGUCAUUUUGCUGAGCAAAGCAAAAUCAUCCCUACCAAUAUUGAAGCUGUCCAAACAAAAAUUAGUUUCCUGAGCUGGCAUGUCUAGCUCAAUUAAUCUUGCAGCAGUGUGGGUGAAGUCAGGCUGCAUUUGCUCUUUGUCUGUUUCCAGCCAGAACUACACGUGCUGGAGAAAACUUGCUUAUUUGGAUGUCACAACAACCACUCGGGAAAUGGGACUGUAGGAACUUCAGAAAACUGAGUUGAAAGUUUAUCUUUGAGCUGCUCACAGCAAGUUUCUUCCUUCUCUAACAUAAAGAGAUGGCAUACAAUCAUGUGAAGAAGCAUUUUUACUUAUCUGGAAAGGGUAACAUUAUAACCAUGGUUUCUAAAUGCUGCCUAAAGAGCCAAUGUGUCCAAUGCUCUUUUUACAUCUUCUUGGCUGACAUAUGAAGCUUGGAGCCAGGAUUUCCAGUUACACAGAAAUCCAGGAAUAGUGCUCAGAAUUGUUCCAAAUUAAACUCUUACUGCAAUAUUUUAAAGCCGUCUGUGCAGCUUCUGACUAACCAAACUCCCUCACCCUGGAUGACAGGCUAUGGCAUGGUACGAUGAUAACCCAGCGCUUCCUAUUUUCUGUCCGUGACUUCAGCUAAACACACUGCAGCAUUACACAUUCUAUGGCAUGUCCACAAAAACUUGCUGUGCCAGGAAGAGGUAACAACCUCAAAAGCAUCUCUACCUCAUGAAAAUCACAGACCCAUUGCUGUGACAUCCUAUGAGCUCAUAUCCCCUGAAGGGAAUAAAAUAAACCAUCAAAUCAAAUGAGGAACACA